ensembl:lncRNA
CAGGGCUGUGUUCCCUCCCUGCUCUUUGACCUGAGACCAAACUAUGGUGGAGGUAAUGAAGAUAAUGGCGACCUCCUUCAGAAGGUUCCAUGACGCACUGCGCACUCAGCGCCCCUGACCCUGCAGCAGGCCACCGCUGACCCCCACCUCUGCCAGAGACUCCUGGACAUUCACGGACAGAAGAUGGAGAUCUGAGAGGCUUACAGGAGAAAAAGUUAAGGAGCCCGUCAAGAAGAGGAUGGACAGACCAAAGAAAACAGCCCACGGCAGCAGACACCUGAGAUACAGCCUGGAAAUCUCUGGGAGGACAGGGCUCGGUGCUGAGAUGAAGAUGCUCAAGACACGUCCACGGGAUGAGCAAACGUGCUCGCUUCCGAGGUCCUCUCCACCCGCCGGCGUGUCCCAGCCUACAAACGACUGUUCUCGCACGCUGGGGUCUCUCUCCAUCCCCCUCUCUCUCUGUCUGUCUCCCACUCUCUCCAUCUCUGCCUUUGUCUUUUUCUGUCUGUCUCUGUCUGUCUCUCUGUUUCUCUCAGAAUGGUGCUAACAAGGAGGGAGGGGUGGAGGAUUGAAACCUGCUCCGUCAAAAUUAUUUGAUCUGUUUCCAUCUUUCCGUCGGGCCCCAGUGAACACCCCAUGAGCUCUCUGCUGCCAUGUUAAUAUCCCGGGAGAUGCUAUCUGGUGGCCCACAUCUCAUGCCAGAGGCAACACCCGCUCCCAAAGAAUCCCAGCCCGCGUCCCACCCUUCUGAGAGAGGCAGAGCCCAUCUCCCUUGACGCCUGUGUGGCUGAGGCGGUUUUUUCUUGAACUCUGCACCUUGGGAACAUUUUUAUGUGCCUCUUGCCAAACCUGAAACUUGAUGUUGGGAUUGUUGGUGAUCCUCCAAGAGGCCGGGCCUCCAGUUCAGGCACCAGAACACACCUGGCCACUCCCAGAAGCUCUUUUCCCAAGUGCCAGGAAGCUGCACCUCGUCUUCGGGGUAGGAGCAGCUUGGGAGAAUGGCCCAGAAUCUUCCAGAAUCACUUUCAUUCUGUUAUCUUGAAACAAACACAUUAACCUGCAGAUGUGGCUACUGGGUGUAGCCUCUAUUGAGACUGAAUCAAUUGGCCCCCAGUGCAAACACAUCGUUAAAUGAAUAUGCACGUAACAUAUUCACUUAUAAUUGAUGUGUUUGCACGCUUUUCCCUGUCUUUUGCCACUCACCCUUUGUUUUAAAUAUCACUGACCGCCUGCCGACCAUGCCACUCCUCCAUGCACUAUUAUUGAGACAUGGAGUGAUUUAAAGAAACACAUAUAAACAUCUCCCUCUGACACACUGUUCGUUCCACCCGAAUCCCUUUAAGGAGACGUAUAUUCCUAUGGUUUAGAUCAUGUAAGUUACUUUUCCAUGCAUUGUCUUUUCUAAUAUUUAUUUAUUUGGAUUUAUUUGGCUGCGCAGGGCUGUGGUUGUGGCACUUGGAAUCUUUAGUUGCGGUGUGUGACCUCUUAGUCUCGGCACGCGGGAUCUGGCUCCCCGAGCAGGAACCGAACCCGGGGCCCCCUGCGUUGGGAGCGCAGAGUCUUAGGCACUGGGCCACCAGGCAAGUCCCUGGAUCAUAUACUUUAUUAAUGAAAAAGGCACAGUGAGAAAACUGGCUCUGCGUGUUCAUCUGCAGAGGGUAACUCUGCGGGGAGGGGUUUAAGAGGAGGCACGACUGAGACUAUUUCUCAUCUUCCGUCAGGACAUUCAAUGCCUGGGCCGGAUGGUGAGGAUGGGUGGGCAGUCAGGCGCCGAGUAUGAAGGCAGAGCUCACCGCAGCCAAGGGGCCGUAUUCUACACAGGAGCCCCAUCCUCAAGGGGUCCGCAGAAGCUUCUGGAACAUUCGCUGGUGGAGAUCACUGUGGGCACACAAGGGGCCAGGGGAGGGGUGUCAGCAGCUUCUUUCCCGAUUCAGUUUUGUGUCCCUGUUGAGCUCCACCUCCUCUCCCACCCCUGCUCUAUCCCCGCCAGGUCCAUGCUCUGCUUCUCUCUUCUUGCGUCUAGGCUCCAGGAGGCAGAGAUGAGCAUGUGGGCGAGCUCCCCAAGCCCGCUGGGUUCCAUGUGGGUCAGGCCUCUGAGUAACACUGGGUGGGGGGUGGGGUGUGUGUGUGCGCCUGUCUCCCUCCCCUCGGGAUCACUUGUGUUCUUGACUGAAGGUUAGGGCUAGAGUCAGAGUCAGGCUGCCCUGUCAAUCAGCCUUCUCCCUUCCCCCCACUCCUCCCUUCUCAUCUCUGCCUGUAUCUCCUUGUCUGUCCCCAUCUGUUUCUCCCUCUCCUCCCCCUUCUUCUCUGAGUCUUGGAAUCACAUGCCCUUCCCUUGCAUUUCCCGGCAGCAGGAAGUGGUCCUGGCUCCCUGGGGGUGGAAGCCCCAGGAAGCUACACUUGGCCUUCAGGCUCCUCUGUACCCUGUGUUCCUGUGCCUUGUCAGCAUUCCCUUUCUCAAAACUCCUCUUGGUUCCCCAGGUCCACUCCUUCUUGCCAGGACCCAAGAGACACAGAGUUGUGGGUCAGAUGUGAGUCACAUGGCUGUGCUUCUCCCAGGUGCCCGGAGGUCCCCCACCCCCGGAGCAGGGCCUCCUUUGCCAUACCUCACCAGGACCUCACUGCCUUCCCCAGCCACCCCACAAACUCUGGACCCCCGAAUGAGAGCUGAGCUACGUGAAGGGGCAGAGUGCAGACCCUGUGGGUUACAACAUGCUUCCUCCUGGGGUCCCCAGUCAAGGGGGAUGACGCAACAUUUCAUCAGGUUAAGUGAUGAGGCGGCUACCCAGUGUUAGCUCUCAUCAGGCUCUCUAAGGCUGAGGAGGCUGUAUGAAAGCACCUUGAAAGUCGUCAUGCAGUAACCCAGUGGACGUGCGCCCAUCUGGCUGGUGUAGCGGCAGCCUCCCAACUAGGCGGGGAGGUCUUGGGUCAGGAAGGUGGCUUUUGUGUAGUUUGCUGCCCCUCUGCAGGGUCUGCCCUCGUGCCAUACGUGCACCCAAGAGCUUGGGAAAUGAUGCCUGCUCCACAGCGACUAUUCAGCUUGUGAUUUUUGAAGGAAGGCAAGACAGUCUUCUGGGACUUCCUAGAGGAAGGCAAAGAGUACCUACCCAUGUCUAAACUCUUAAAAGUAGAGGCCAUUACUUUGCCUAAUUCUAGAAUUAUAUCACAAAUUCUGUACAAAUCAUAUUUAAAUGGAUAGUCCUAACAUAAAUGACUCUGAAGGGAAUACAUCAGGUAGUAUAGGUUGACUGGCUCCGCUCCUUCAAUUAUAUCUGUUUCCGCUAUAGAAGCUGAUUAUGCAAAAAAAAAAAAAAAAAGUCACUUUGCUCAUUCAGUAUUCUUAGGGCUAGGAAUGGCUUUGUGACUCAUUUCUCAAAAGUAAAAUAAACAUUCCAAUGGUACCGUCAAUUUCCCUUUUGUUUUUACCAUCUUGGAAUGCAAACAUGAUGGCUGGAACUUCAGCAGCAAACCUUGGGAAGAGGAGGCGAUAGCAAGGAGGGAAAGAUGAGAAUUGCAGAGACAGUGAGGUGUUGACCUUGAUACUUGUAAGCCACUGAACUACUGAGAUCAAUCAGCUACCUCCAGAAUUGUUUGUGCAUUUGUGUGUGUGUGUGUGUGUGAGAGAGAGAGAGAGAACUACUUGUAAGCCACUGAACUACUGAGAUCAAUCAACUACCUCCAGAAUUGUUUGUGCAUUUGUGUGUGUGUGUGUGUGUGUGUGUGUGUGUGUGUGUGUGUGAGACAGAACAUUAACCUUUCUUUAUUGUUGUUUAGCAGCUCAGUCGUGACCAACUCUUUUGUGAUCCCAUGGACUGUAGCCCCCCAGGCUCCCCUGUCCACGGGAUCUCCCAGAAUACUGGAGUGGGUUGCUGUUUCCUUCUCCAGGGGAUCUUCCUGACCCAGGGAUCAAACUUGAGUCUCCUGCAUUGGCAGGCAAAUUCUUUACUGAUGGGCCAUCAGGGAAGCUUGCUGCUGCUGCUGCUGCUAAGUCGCUUCAGUCAUGUCCGACUCUGUGUGACCCCAUAGACGGCAGCCCACCAGGCUCCCCCAUCCCUGGGAUUCUCCAGGCAAGAACACUGGAGUGGGUUGCCAUUUCCUUCUCCAGUGCAGGAAAGUGAAAAGUGAAAGUGAAAUCGCUCAGUUGUGCCUGACUCUUAGCGACCCCAUGGACUGCAGCCCACCAGGCUCCUCCGUCCGUGGGAUUUUCCAGUACUCUUGCCUGGAAAAUCCCAUGGACGGAGGAGAAGACUAAAUCCCCAUUAAUUAAUUAUUCUGUUUCUUGUAGCCAAAGAUAGCCCUAUCUGGUACAGUCAAAAAUGUGUUGAUAAAAUAAAAUUACUUCUCUUUCUCCAACACCUCAUUGGCUUUUCACGUUGAAAUCUGCAUAGGGCAGUUUUCUAAGUGAGAGGGUUCGUUCAGGAUUAAUUCAAGCCUGUUUGACCCACCACCCUGCCAAAUGCCCGUGACCCCCUUUCACUCUCUUCUUAGCAGCUCUUGAGCCCCUUGAGAGCAGAUGCCACGUGACAUUUACAUCCCUAGGGAUCAACACCACAGUUUUCAUGUAACUGGCAUUGGAUUAAAGAUGGGCCCUGAAGAAAGAAAAUAAGCUUCAUAAGGUCCAGAGAGGGCGGUACAGUAACUACCACUUAUUGAGGGACUAAUACAUGCAAACGUUUUCCAGUCCUCAUUUCAGACACAUCAUAAAGUAUCUGUAGCCCCAUUUUACAGAUGAAAAUCCUGACGCUCAAAGAGUUUGCAUAGUUUGGCCUGGAUCCUGAAGCUUAUAAAUGACACAGAGAAAAUGUGAACCCCUAGCUCCCCCAUAGACGUCUUCCCUGUGAGACGAACAGUUCAGAGCGUGGAAACCACCGCGGGGACUUUGUUUUUCUCACCUCAGCAUCUGAAGACAUCAGCAGACCUAGCCAGGUGCCGACCAGCCUUGACACAGACUCUGAGUGAAACCUUCAAAGGGUCUAGAAUUCAAUCCCCGGCAGGUUCCGAGGAGGACGGUCUGGGGCUUUGGAGAAAGCGGCCUUUUCCACCGUCUCAUUUGCAUGCUGGAUGUCUACUGAAAGUUGCUAUGGUGAUCCGUUUGACCAGAAGUUUCCGCUGAAUCAUCCCAACACAUAUAUGAAAACAGAGAUGUGGUUUGGGGACCCAGGGCCCGCAGCCGGGGGAGACGCUUCCAUCUUUCACUUGUGACUCACUCGUGGUCGUGCGUAGGCCCAGCUGGAAGGGAGGCGAGACCUCUGGGGCAGGUGUCGCUCCCCGGAGAGUUUUUGCACGGCAGGGCUCACGCAGUCAGUCCCCUCUGGGGACGCAAAGAGUGGAGCAGGAAAGGAGGAGCAGCACCCGAGAGAUGCCCUGUUCCCCCGGCUUAUUCCAGGGCUCAGGUCCUCUGGGUAGACGUCUCUGUUUGGAGACAUCCCCCAUGCCCCCUCACCAACAGCCAAGGCCGCCGUGGGUGCCUGGGUUCAGGAGGUCCAUCUGGGAGCCGACCUGAAAAGGCAGGAGGGGAGGGGGCUCUGAACCGGAGGGGAGGGAGGACCUUACCUGAGUGCUGCGGAUGCUUCUGUGGGCGGUGACCCGCUUCAGGACCUGUCUCUAGGGUAGUUGGCCAAGGGACAGAGUGCCUGGGAGCAGACAGGCUUCUGUUCAGGUCUUUUCUCUCCUCAGGGCAAUCCUGGUCUCUGGCCUUGGCAAACAUCUGAACUUUGACCUUGAUUUCCCUGUGUGCAGAAAUGUAGAAAAGAGUACCUCAUUUGACCUAAGGAAAAAAAAAAAGCACAUCCACAGUGGAGCCUGGUGCAGAGUAUUGCAUGCAAGGGCUGUUCGAGACUGGUGCAGAACAUGGCUUUCCUCAUUGGACCCUGAGACAAGGAGAUGCCCUCUGGCCCCAGAGAGCACCCCAGUAAGACUGGCUUAACAUCCACAGCGAUUGCUCAUUUCCAGAGUGACCGACUUUUCAUUCAUGUGAUAAGCCAUGUUCCUUUGGAGCUAAAGGGGAUAAAGAUGAGAUUCCCUCCUCCCUGCCCUCCAAGAGCUGACGGGUGUAUGGAGAUAAAUAGUCAGUGAUGAACCAUAACAGAUGUAUUCAGAGGGUGAUUCGAGAAGCGUCCGUUGAUGCUUGGGUGGGUUCGUGCUGCACGUGAGUGACCCGGCAGGCUGAGCCCACGUGGUGCAGAAGUCCCCAGGAGGCUGACCAGGGAAACCCGUGGACCAUCUCACCUCCACAGAGUGACUUUUCCUGUUAACUCCCAGACUCCAGGCCAACUGGAACCUGGCUCAUUAGCGCCGUGCAACCAAACAGCAGCUGGGGAGGAGGUCUCUCUGUUGCAUGUGGAUCUGCGGUUGCCUUGAAUUUUUUAAAAAGUCAAACAGAUAUGGAUAAUUUCCACACACAGUUACAGACCUCAUGCCAGUAUCGGAGCACUGAGUGGAAAUACACCAUCUCACUUGGAUUAGGGAGAAGCAGCCAAAGAAGGUCUCCCACGGAAGGGGACCUCAGCACAGGUCAUUUGGCUGUUGAAGAAACUGGAGCACUCGUCCUACGGAAUUGCCCAUAUUCCGGGUGUGAAUGAAUGCUUCUCCGUGGGGCUCAUUUCUCUCUCCUCUGUGUUUCAUGAUAGCAGUAGUGUGGCACCAUUGUCAGGCUCACCGUCAUCACGUUUCUACCCCAUGGUCCCAGCAUUGUUGGAAAGGUGGGAGUGUGGACGAUCGAGUGCUAGCUUCUCGAAGUCUAAUUCCCCCAUCAUGUAACUUAAAACCAAGCCUUUCCUCCCCGCCACGUAGAACAAGGACCGCAAUCUGCCGUUGGCACUCAGGUUGGGAAAGUGAUUCUGGUACAAAGACAAUGCACGGACUUGUGCAAUGGCCAAGCAGGGCCAGCCCUGCAGCUGCCCUCAGAGCAGGCAGUUUCUGGAAACAGACCUUUCUGACGGUAAUAAGACAGUCGGAGCGUGAACUUUGCCGCCACGCCUUGAACCACUCACCAGCUGAGAGACCUUGGAGACUCUCCGUAAUGUUUCCACGCCUUAGCUUCCUUCUGAGCUAAACAGAAAGAGCAGCAUGUGUCUCCGUGGGCUACUGUGAAAAGCCAGGGCGUUAAAGCCAAGGGCAAGCCCUGGAACUCAGACAGGGCCAGCAGUUGAGGCCCCAUCGAACGCCAAAGACCAAGACUCAGAGAGCACGUCAAGGACUCAGAGAUGACACAGGGAAGAAGUAGCAGCAGCCACCACACCGUGUGCUCCCAAAGCCCCAGAGGCCUUGAAUGAGAGGUCAGGAUACACCCGUGCGUGUAUAAAUAGGCCCCCAUCCCCGGAGCUUGGCAC